AAGAUGGUGUCCACAUCUCAGCUCCUUGGGCUUCUGUUCUUCUGGGUUUCAGCCUCCAGAGGCAACAUUGUGCUGACUCAGUCUCCAGCCACCCUGUCUGUGACUCCAGGAGAAAGAGUCACCAUGGCCUGCAAGGCCAGCCAGGGUAUUGGAACAAGCUUACACUGGUAUCAGCAAAAACCAAAUGAGGCUCCAAGGAUUCUCAUCAAGUAUGCUUCUGAGUCCAUUUCUGGGAUCCCCUCCAGGUUCAGUGGCAGUGGGUCAGGGACAGAUUUCACGCUCAGCAUCAACACUGUGGAGGCUGAAGAUGUUGUACUUUAUUACUGUCAGCAGGGUAACAGCUUGCCUCCCACAGCUCUCCUGCGGAGUGAGGAAUUUUUCUUUGGCGAGAAUACCUCAUCAGAGAGCCACUUUGAUCUGCUUGUGUCUAUGCCUGAGUGCUGGGGUUACAGCAAGUGCGGCUAA